AUUGAACGCUGGCGGCAGGCUUAACACAUGCAAGUCGAGCGGAGAGAGGUAGCUUGCUACUGAUCUUAGCGGCGGACGGGUGAGUAAUGCUUAGGAAUCCGCCUAUUAGUGGGGGACAACAUUUCGAAAGGAAUGCUAAUACCGCAUACGUCCUACGGGAGAAAGCAGGGGAUCUUCGGACCUUGCGCUAAUAGAUGAGCCUAAGUCGGAUUAGCUAGUUGGUGGGGUAAAGGCCUACCAAGGCGACGAUCUGUAGCGGGUCGGAGAGGAUGCAGCGCCACACUGGGACUGAAACAGGACCCAGAGUCCUACGGGAGGCAGCAGUGGGGAAUAUUGGAGAAUGGGGGGAACCCUGAUCCAGCCAUGCCGCGUGUGUGAAGAAGGCCUUAUGGUUGUAGAGCACUUUAAGCGAGGAGGAGGCUACUGAGACUAAUACUCUUGGAUAGUGGACGUUACUCGCAGAAUAAGCACCGGCUAACUCUGUGCCAGCCGCCGCAGUAAGAC
rnacentral:rRNA from 1 species